AUUGAACGCUGGCGGAAUGCUUUACACAUGCAAGUCGAACGGCAGCACGGACUUCGGUCUGGUGGCGAGUGGCGAACGGGUGAGUAAUACAUCGGAAUGUGCCCAGUCGUGGGGGAUAACGUAGCGAAAGCUACGCUAAUACCGCAUACGAUCUACGGACGAAAGCGGGGGAUCGCAAGACCUCGCGCGAUUGGAGCGGCCGAUGGCAGAGUAGGUAGUUGGUGGGGUAAAGGCCUACCAAGCCGACGAUCUGUAGCUGGUCUGAGAGGACGACCAGCCAGACUGGGACUGAGACACGGCCCAGACUCCUACGGGAGGCAGCAGUGGGGAAUUUUGGACAAUGGGCGCAAGCCUGAUCCAGCCAUUCCGCGUGCAGGAUGAAGGCCCUCGGGUUGUAAACUGCUUUUGUACGGAACGAAAAGGCUCUGGUUAAUACCUGGGGCUCAUGACGGUACCGUAAGAAUAAGCACCGACUAACUACGUGCCAGCCGCCGCAGUAA
rnacentral:rRNA from 1 species